UGGACACACUCUUCAAGCUUCAUGCCCUGUA
rnacentral:piRNA from 1 species